GUAGGUCACGAGCGUUGUCCGGAAUUACAGGGUGUAAAGGGAGCGCAGGCGGAAAGACAAGUUGGAAGUGAAAUCUAUGGGCUCAACCCAUAAACUGCUUUCAAAACUGUUUUUCUUGAGUAGUGCAGAGGUAGGCGGAAUUCCCGGUGUAGCGGUGGAAUGCGUAGAUAUCGGGAGGAAUACCAGUGGCGAAGGCGGCCUACUGGGCACCAACUGACGCUGAGGCUCGAAAGUGUGGGUAGCAAACAGGAUUAGAUACCCUGGUAGUCCACACCGUAAACGAUGAUUACUAGGUGUUGGAGGAUUGACCCCUUCAGUGCCGCAGUUAACACAAUAGGUAAUCCACCUGGGGAGUACGACCGCAAGGUUG
rnacentral:rRNA from 1 species